rnacentral:lncRNA from 1 species
UGAGCCUCUCCCAGCCCCUCCUCCCAGGCUGUAUUUUUAUCCCUAGUUCAUGGAGCCAGAAACGGAGGCCAGAGAUACCUCACCCAGGCCUGCCACACUAGCUCUGCCUCCAGCCUCCUCGGUCCUAAGCCAUCGGCUGUAGCAGGACUCUGAGGACCCCUCCCCUUUCCCUCCAGGUGAUGCGGAUGACACUUAACACGAUGACGUGGCGGCGCAGGGAGAUGGUUCGCUGGCUUGUUAGCUGUGCCACGGAGAUUGG